ACCUAUAUUUAAAUCAUACAAUAUUGUACACUUCAUAACCUUUAACACAACUAUUAGUUAUUUGAAAAUCCUAAUAAUUUACAGUCAGAGAUUUUCGUGACUAAGUUCAGUCAAUAUUUAAAUUAUUGCACACUUAUCAACUUAAAUAGUCAAAUUCUUAAUGCGUCACUUAUUUUUUAAUUUGAAAAAGUAUUUUGUAGUAUUUGUUAGGUAUUGAAUUUACAUUAAAACUAACCGUUUAACACUUUCCUGGACAGUGAACUGCUAUACUAGCCGUCAUAACAAAUAAACUUCUAUUGUGUCUGGGUUACUGUCCGGGAAAGUGUAAGAAUGGCCAAAGGUUUACUAAUCUAUUCGUAUUCGAACUUUAUACAUCAAAAAUACAUCUCAAAGGGUCAUACUUUGAAGUCUCAAGAUUUCUCUUGGCAGUUCAUCCAAUAGUUGUGGAUAAUGUGGUUGCAUGGAUAUUAUUCGCAAUCUUUUUUAUCAAUCCUUAGCUUUCCGAGCUCUACCACCAACUCUACUUUUCCUACCGCUUGGCAAAGAUACUGGCUUACCCGACACCACACAUUGCCACCAAUGCUUGUAACAACAUUGGGCGAUAAAUUUCUUAAGGCGUUUACACGUUGGCUUACACUAGUCUUAACCCGUCAGGGCCAACGUGAAGUUGUCCCAACGUCCGUGCUAAUAUUUUCUAGACCCACACGUUGGAUGAUUGGCAUUGGCAGCAGUGUUGAGGCCAACGUUUGUGCAAUACAGAGAAGUGCGUCAGACUUGCGCUGCUGACAAAAGCGUCAUUCGACGAAGAUAUUGAACAUGCGACCAUGUUUGAUACACACGUUCUAUAACUUAUACUACAAAUCGCGUGCGACUUCGUUCAACGUCAGUGUACGAAAGUCUACCUUAAACUUUCUAAUCUUAGAUACAUUGCACUCUCAAAUGAUACUUAGUGGUACAGCAUAAAUUCAAGCUUGUCAUUAUGGAAGUUGAUAAGUAUGCAAUAACAAUUUAAGACCCUUCUGCUAUUAGCUGUCCAAUAGAAGAAACAUUUGGAAGACAUUCAAUACUGCUUGAAAAUGCUAAACAAACUACAAGUUUUCACAUUAAUUGACAAGAAUUUUAAAAUGUCAUACAUUCCUUACAGCAAAUUUAAAUUUUAAAUCUUAGUACCUAGAGUCGUAUAUAUUAUUUAUCAACCAUCGAGAGUCCUGUAUCUCGUUUUGGAAGAGACGUUAAAAUAGUAAAAUACCUUUUAAUAUGUGCUUACUUAAUUACUACUCUAAAUACAACUUUGUAUGCCAUUUGUUUAACGCGAUUAAUAAUAUAUCUACUAAGUUUUAUUGAU